rnacentral:rRNA from 1 species
UACGAAGGGUGCAAGCGUUACUCGGAAUUACUGGGCGUAAAGCGUGCGCAGGCGGUUUUGUAAGCCAGAUGUGAAAUCCCCAGGCUUAACCUGGGAACUGCAUCCGAUACUGGAUGGCUUGAAUCCGGGAGAGGGAUGCAGAAUUCCAGGUGUAGCGGUGAAAUGCGUAGAUAUCUGGAGGAAUACCGGUGGCGAAGGCGGCAUCCUGGACCGGCAUUGACGCUGAGUGAGCGAAAGCCAGGGGAGCAAACGGG